rnacentral:rRNA from 1 species
CCUACGUGAGGCUGCAGUGGGGAAUAUUGGACAAUGGGGGCAACCCUGAUCCAGCCAUGCCGCGUGUGUGAAGAAGGCCCUCGGGUUGUAAAGCACUUUCAGUGAGGAAGAACGCCUGGUGGUUAAUACCCAUCAGGAAAGACAUCACUCACAGAAGAAGCACCGGCUAACUCCGUGCCAGCAGCCGCGGUAAUACGGAGGGUGCGAGCGUUAAUCGGAAUUACUGGGCGUAAAGCGCGCGUAGGUGGCUUGAUAAGCCGGUUGUGAAAGCCCCGGGCUCAACCUGGGAACGGCAUCCGGAACUGUCAAGCUAGAGUGCAGGAGAGGAAGGUAGAAUUCCCGGUGUAGCGGUGAAAUGCGUAGAGAUCGGGAGGAAUACCAGUGGCGAAGGCGGCCUUCUGGACUGACACUGACACUGAGGUGCGAAAGCGUGGGUAGCAAACAGGAUUAGAUACCCUUGUAGUC